rnacentral:rRNA from 1 species
UGGGGAAUAUUGGACAAUGGGGGCAACCCUGAUCCAGCCAUGCCGCGUGAGUGAUGAAGGCCUUCGGGUUGUAAAGCUCUUUUGGCGGGGACGAUGAUGACGGUACCCGCAGAAUAAGCCCCGGCUAACUUCGUGCCAGCAGCCGCGGUAAGACGAAGGGGGCUAGCGUUGUUCGGAAUUACUGGGCGUAAAGCGAGUGUAGGCGGUUGCCGUAGUCAGGUGUGAAAGCCUUGAGCUCAACUCAAGAAAUGCACUUGAUACUGGGUGACUAGAGGACCGGAGAGGAUAGUGGAAUUCCCAGUGUAGUGGUGAAAUACGUAGAGAUUGGGAAGAACACCAGUGGCGAAGGCGGCUAUCUGGACGGUUACUGACGCUAAGACUCGAAAGCGUGGGGAGCAAACAGGAUUAGAUACCCUGGUAGUCCACGCCGUAAAACGAUGGGUGCUAGACGUUGGCGAGCUUGCUCGUCAGUGUCGCAGCUAACGCGUUAAGCACCCCCGCCUGGGGAGUACGGCCGCAAGGUUGAAAACUCAAAAUGAAUUGACGGGGGUCAUAGCUGUUUUCCU